rnacentral:rRNA from 1 species
GAUGAACGCUGGCGGCGUGCCUAAUACAUGCAAGUCGAGCGAACGGACGAGAAGCUUGCUUCUCUGAUGUUAGCGGCGGACGGGUGAGUAACACGUGGAUAACCUACCUAUAAGACUGGGAUAACUUCGGGAAACCGUAGCUAAUACCGGAUAAUAUUUUGAACCGCAUGGUUCAAAAGUGAAAGACGGUCUUGCUGUCACUUAUAGAUGGAUCCGCGCUGCAUUAGCUAGUUGGUAAGGUAACGGCUUACCAAGGCAACGAUGCAUAGCCGACCUGAGAGGGUGAUCGGCCACACUGGAACUGAGACACGGUCCAGACUCCUACGGGAGGCAGCAGUAGGGAAUCUUCCGCAAUGGGCGAAAGCCUGACGGAGCAACGCCGCGUGAGUGACGAAGGUCUUCGGAUCGUAAAACUCUGUUAUUAGGGAAGAACAUAUGUGUAAGUAACUGUGCACAUCUUGACGGUACCUAAUCAGAAAGCCACGGCUGACUACGUG